rnacentral:rRNA from 1 species
UACGUAGGGUGCGAGCGUUGAUCGGAAUUACUGGGCGUAAAGCGUGCGCAGGCGGCUUUGCAAGACAGAUGUGAAAUCCCCGGGCUCAACCUGGGAACUGCAUUUGUGACUGCAAGGCUAGAGUACGGCAGAGGGGGAUGGAAUUCCGCGUGUAGCAGUGAAAUGCGUAGAUAUGCGGAGGAACACCAAUGGCGAAGGCAAUCCCCUGGGCCUGUACUGACGCUCAUGCACGAAAGCGUGGGGAGCAAACAGG